rnacentral:lncRNA from 1 species
UGGUAUGGGGACCAAGGGCAAAAGGAUCAGUGAUUUCAGCAGAUGCCUUUGAGCCCCGAGUCUCUGGCUGUGGACUAGUCCAGUAGAAAGAGUGUCUUGGAGUGUGGCAGAGUCCCAGUCCCCUGUCUUUCUUACUGUCAAAACCAAGGUUUGGGCAAUCGAUGAUCUAGCUAAAAAAAUGAUGUUUUUCAGCCUGUCCUUUCUGGGCUCCUUCUGUCCCAAACACAGAUGUGA